GCACAGAGUUUGGAGCUCCUUAUUCAUAGGGUACUAUCAACGAAUUUUCUCCCCUAUAAAAGGUUUUUACGUGCCGAAGCACUUCAUCAACCACGCGGCGUCGCUCCGUCAGGCUUUCGCCCAUUGCGGAAGAUUCUCGACUGCAGCCACCCGUAGGUGUAUGGGCCGUGUCUCAGUCCCAUCGGUGGGGGUCAGGCUCUCACCUCCCCUAAGCGUCAUAGCCUUGGUAAGCCAUUACCUUACCAACUAGCUGAUACUCCGCAGGCCGCUCCAAGAGCGAAAAAACUUUACUCUUUCGAGACUAUCCGGAAUUACCUCCUCUUUCGAGAAGCUAUGCCAGACUCUUGUGUGCGUACCUACGUGUUACUACCUCGUUCGCCGGUUGCCCUUGCGGGCCCCCUUGACUUGCAUGCCUUAUCCACGCCGCCAGCGUUCAUC
rnacentral:rRNA from 1 species